GGGGGUCUUGGGACCCCGAACUUCGGGGGCUGUUUUUUGGGCGCGGCUGUGCCCGUGGCCUAUUUUUGGCACACGGAGGCCGCCCGCCAUGUCUGGUGCCAUUCCGAGUCCCGCGGACGAACUUCGCCCACGCCCCCCACCAAGGCUAUAGCCCACCCGUUUUUUGGCCAUUUUUCCGCUGGGGGGUCUUGGGACCCCGAACUUCGGGGGCUGUUUUUUGGGCGCGGCUGUGCCCGUGGCCUAUUUUUGGCACACGGAGGCCGCCCGCCAAGUCUGGUGCCAUUCCGAGUCCCGCGGACGAACUUCGCCCACGCCCCCAACCAAGGCUAUAGCCCACCCGUUUUUUGGCCAUUUUUCCGCUGGGGGGUCUUGGGACCCCGAACUUCGGGGGCUGUUUUUUGGGCGCGACUGUGCCCGUGGCCUAUUUUUGGCACACGGAGGCCGCCCGCCAAGUCUGGUGCCAUUCCGAGUCCCGCGGACGAACUUCGCCCACGCACCCCACCAAGGCUAUAGCCCACCGUUUUUUGGCCAUUUUUCUGCGGGGGGGUCUUGGGACCCCGAACUUCGGGGCUUUUUUUUUGGGCGCGGCUGUGCCCGUGGCCUAUUUUUGGCACACGGAGGCCGCCCGCGAAGUCUGGUGCCAUUCCGAGUCCCACGGACGAACUUCGCCCACGCCCCCCACCAAGGCUAUAGCCCACCGUUUUUUGGCCAUUUUUCCGCUGGGGGGUCUUGGGACCCCGAACUUCGGGGGCUGUUUUUUGGGUGCGGCUGUGCCCGUGGCCUAUUUUUGGCACACGGAGGCCGCCCGCCAAGUCUGGUGCCAUUCCGAGUCCCGCGGACGAACUUCGUCCACGCCCCCCACCAAGGCUAUAGCCCACCCGUUUUUUGGCCAUUUUGCCGCUGGGGGGUCUUGGGACCCCGAACUUCGGGGGCUGUUUUUGGGC
rnacentral:lncRNA from 1 species